rnacentral:rRNA from 1 species
CCUACGGGAGGCAGCAGUGGGGAAUAUUGCACAAUGGGGGAAACCCUGAUGCAGCGACGCCGCGUGGAGGAAGAAGGUCUUCGGAUUGUAAACUCCUGUUGUUGAGGAAUGAUAAUGACGGUACUCAACAAGGAAGUGACGGCUAACUACGUGCCAGUCA